AUCAUCUUCAGGCUGGAGUGUGUGAGUUACCCCAAUCAGUUUGAACACAUGGUUUGUUGCCAGCCUUGUGGACUCUGUUCUGAAGCUGAUUAGGAAGUGCCCACAAAUUUCUCCACCAGCAGAGUGGAGGAGGAGCUGCCCUGGGAGAGGACCAUGACUUGCACACGCAACUUGCAUUUCCACAAACUCUCUUGCUCCUUGUGUACCUAGCAGCUGUUGCAUGGUAGCUUGAAGGAAAAGCUGAAGAGAUCGUAACAGAGGGAUCCCUGGGGUGGGAAAGACCCCUUGGGAGAUCCCUGAUAUUGCUGAAGGCACCUUGAGCAACAGUCUCUGAAAAGCUCCUUUCUAUAUAAAUGAGGGAGUAGGGACUUAUUUCUAACAGUGUCUGCGUUACAGGGGUCUGAGUCCAAACAGAUUUGCAUUAAAAAAUAAAUAAGGAAAAAAAAAAAAAAAGUUAAGUGAGUAAAAUUACUCCUGUAGCUGUUUUACUCCUGUAGUUGUUUUACACAGCUCAAUGAAGAUAAUUUUAUUGGCAAUCAUGAGUGAUUACAGUAUUAUCUGCCAUCAAAAAAGUUAUUUUUUGAACGCUAAAGGAAUUAAUGAUACAUAAAACUGUGCUUAGAUUGAGUGCAUUCAUCAGCAGAAAUGCCUCGUGCUGGCACUGCUGCACUGUAAUUACUCUGUGUGCUCAGAGGAGGAGAGCAGGAGGUGGGGGUGUUGUGUGUGCUGCCACAGAUUUACACACACUGACACACUGAGCAGCUGGAGCAGGGGUAGCAGAGCCAGGACAGCAAAACUGGGUGAAGCCAGUAUGGAUAAGAUGAUUAAAUGCUCCUCAGAAUACAAAGAGAUGAGUCCAGUCUUUGAAGGAUGCUGCUUCAUUUUUAGAACCUUGUGAUAAAGAAGAUUUUGAAGAGACCGGUGUCCUCACUUUUCCCAGUCUGAAACAUGAUGGAUGGACCUGUGUGAGCCUCUCAGAUCUGUACAUUUCAGCAGAAAAGAAGCAUUUCUGAGCCCUUGUCUAAUUGAAUGCAUCAGGAAAACUUUGUCAAGAGACCUGCUGAUGAGUGAGACCUUUGCAGAAGCUGUAGAAAUCCAGCAAGAGGAACUCACUGCCCAGAAUUUACACUGGAGUUUGGGGAGCGAGGGGGUGAAAGCCAAAGGGGUUAAAAUCCAGCUCCUGGACACCUGUGAAUAUUAAAACACGUCUGCUUUUAAAUGAGUUUUUCCCUUAUGGUUUACAUAAAUUUGACAGCCAACUACAGAAAUCAAGUUGUCCUUUAUGUACAUGACAAAAUCUCAUUAAUUAUUUUACAAAAUUGAGAGUAACUUUCUUUAUGCUUGUGGCUGGCAAUACCAUGAAACUUGAGAGAAACAGAGACUGAAUGAUAUUACCAGAAACAAUGAGGUUCAGCAAAGUUAAACAGUCCACACAAAAUGACGUAAAAUAAAUGAAGACUUUUAAAAUUCCUCUGUUUUUCA
rnacentral:lncRNA from 1 species